GAUGAACGCUGGCGGCGUGCUUAACACAUGCAAGUCGAACGAGCCUUCGGGCUAGUGGCGGACGGGUGAGUAACGCGUGGGAAUCUGCCCUCAGGAGGGGGAUAACGGUUGGAAACGACCGCUAAUACCCCAUAUGCCGAGAGGUGAAAUGAAUUUCGCCUGAGGAUGAGCCCGCGUCUGAUUAGCUAGUUGGUGGGGUAAUGGCCCACCAAGGCGACGAUCAGUAGCUGGUCUGAGAGGAUGAUCAGCCACACUGGGACUGAGACACGGCCCAGACUCCUACGGGAGGCAGCAGUGGGGAAUUUUCCGCAAUGGGCGAAAGCCUGACGGAGCAACGCCGCGUGAGGGAUGAAGGCCUCUGGGCUGUAAACCUCUUUUCUCAAGGAAGAAGACAUGACGGUACUUGAGGAAUAAGCCACGGCUAAUUCCGUGCCAGCAGCCGCGGUAAUACGGGAGUGGCAAGCGUUAUCCGGAAUUAUUGGGCGUAAAGCGUCCGCAGGCGGCCUUGUAAGUCUGUCGUUAAAGCGUGGAGCUUAACUCCAUUUAAGCGAUGGAAACUACAAGGCUUGAGUGUGGUAGGGGCAGAGGGAAUUCCCGGUGUAGCGGUGAAAUGCGUAGAUAUCGGGAAGAACACCAGUGGCGAAGGCGCUCUGCUGGGCCAUAACUGACGCUCAUGGACGAAAGCCAGGGGAGCGAAAGGGAUUAGAUACCCCUGUAGUCCUGGCCGUAAACGAUGAACACUAGGUGUCGGGGGAAUCGACCCCCUCGGUGUCGUAGCUAACGCGUUAAGUGUUCCGCCUGGGGAGUACGCACGCAAGUGUGAAACUCAAAGGAAUUGACGGGGGCCCGCACAAGCGGUGGAGUAUGUGGUUUAAUUCGAUGCAACGCGAAGAACCUUACCAGGGUUUGACAUCCUGCGAAUCCCUUGGAAACGAGGGAGUGCCUUCGGGAGCGCAGAGACAGGUGGUGCAUGGCUGUCGUCAGCUCGUGUCGUGAGAUGUUGGGUUAAGUCCCGCAACGAGCGCAACCCACGUCUUUAGUUGCCAGCAUUCAGUUGGGCACUCUAGAGAGACCGCCGGUGAUAAACCGGAGGAAGGUGUGGAUGACGUCAAGUCAUCAUGCCCCUUACAUCCUGGGCUACACACGUACUACAAUGCUACGGACAAAGGGUUGCAAGCUCGCGAGAGUUAGCUAAUCCCAUAAACCGUGGCUCAGUUCAGAUCGUAGGCUGCAACUCGCCUACGUGAAGGAGGAAUCGCUAGUAAUCGCAGGUCAGCAUACUGCGGUGAAUACGUUCCCGGGCCUUGUACACACCGCCCGUCACACCAUGGAAGUUGGCCAUGCCCGAAGUCGUUACUCCAACCCUUGUGGAGGAGGACGCCGAAGGUGGGGCUGAUGACUGGGGUGAAGUCGUAACAAGGUAGCCGUACCGGAAGGUGCGGCUGGAUCACCUCCUAA
rnacentral:rRNA from 1 species